UUAUGCUCUCAUGUCGUGAAGGGUAUGCAAACUCGACAUGUUGGAAUUCAACUUCUCCUAAAAUGGUAUCCAAAAUAUCCCAUUCCAUAUUGUCUAAAUCUAUUUUUGGCGUUCUUUUUAUCAUUUCAUUUAUAUGCUCAGCAGCUGAACAUGAUUCAGAUAAGGGCUUCAAAUUGGAUAAACUAUCACCAAGUCGUAUUCCACCAACAACAAUGCAUGCCUACUAUGAAAAUAGUUCCACCCUGAGCUC